CACCAUGUAAGUCAGCUUUCCCUCUUCCC
rnacentral:piRNA from 1 species